rnacentral:lncRNA from 1 species
CAACACGGAAGUGGAAUUAGAGGGAUGUUUGUUUUUAUUUUGCAAUAUGCUCGUUCCUUGUGUGUAUUUUAGACGCAGCUAACUGAAUAUCUAACUUUCAGUCCACUGAAAAUGGCUAAAUUACAGUCUUUGGGUGUGUUUGUUAAUACGCGUUUAACAGUGGCUACCGUAGAGAUUAUGGGGGCAGUAGAGAAAGUGGUAGCGGAGUACCAGGAGGAGAUUUUCCGAUCUAAAGAGGAGAAUGACCGGCUACGGAGACUGCUGCGGAUCAGACCGGAGAUAAAACUAUGUAGAUUAGACUCCCUCGUUUUGUCUUACUGUCUCCGAGGAGGAGGUUAACCCUGUGCAGCAGCAAUGUGACCAGGAGGAAUGGAACUCCAGUCUGGGGGCGGAUGACCCCGAGCCCAUGCAGAUUAAAGAGGAGGAAGUCGGGACCACUCAGGAGGCAGUGCAGCUUCAAGGACUGGAGGCUGACAUCUUAGAGUUCAUAUUCACACCUCCCUGUGUGAAAAGUGAUUGCGGUAAGGAGGACCCACUUUUGAGUCUUCCCCAAACCGAGACUAUGGAGAAGAGAGAGCGUGACUCUAAACCAUUGGAUCUCAAACCUUUUGGCACAGUGAUCCACCUUGACAUUACCAGUGACCCUCCAGAUAAUCAAGACAAUGUCUCCAGUCACAGCUCAGCCGUAAUUAACGAUCCAGUAGGAUUUGACAUAAGCCCACCAUUGGAUUCCAACACACCAUUAAGGAAACCCGGUACUAAAGCCAGCACCACGUAUAACAACCCUCAUAUACUCCCCAUGCCCAGAGUUAGGGUCAGAACCACAGACAGAGGACUGUGUCAUCCAGAGACAUUUGAGAGAGCCUCCCAAGAUGCGCUGGUAGGGGGCCAGUCAGUCAGGAGUGCAGCGAAAGCACAUGGCGUAUGCCAUGUUGUUUAGGUACUGUCGGAGGAAGAAGGAUAGCGCCAAUGCCCGACUGCCAGCAUACAGAGCCCACAACAGAGUGUUUAGUCAGGGGCAGGAGAAUCAUCUGGAAGAUUAUCUGUUGAGGGCUGCAGAUAUAUACUUUGGAUUGAGUCCUAAAGAGGUACGUAGACUUGCAUACCACCUUGCCCAACACUACCACUGCAAGUACCUUGAGACCUGGGUUACCAAGGCGAUGGCAGGGAAAGACUGGUUCACCUCCUUCCUCAAAAGGCACCCCGGCCUCUCCAUCUGCCAGCCUCAAGCCACCAGUCUGUUGAGGGCGACAAGUUUCAAUGCAACGAAUGUUUCUCAGUUCUUCAACAACCUUUCUACUAUUCUGGGCCGCCACAACUUUGAGGCCAAAGAUGUGUGGAACAUGGAUGAGACCAGCACCACAACAGUCCAAGUGCCAGACAAAAUCAUUGCCUACAGAGGGAGGAAGCAGGUCGGACCAACAACAUCUGUAGAGAGAGGAACAAUGGUUACUAUGGCACUAGUGGUCAAUCCUCAAGGAAACAGCAUUCCACCUCACUUCAUCUUUCCCCACAAUAAGUACCUUGAUCACUUCCUACGUGAUGGGCCUACAGGUUGCAUGGGCACUGCUAGUGGUUCUGGGUGGAUGGGAGAAUGACUUCCUGGCCUUCUUGCAACAUUUUGUGAAGUACACCAGGACGUCCCCACAGUCUCCACAGCUGCUGCUUCUGGAUAAUCAAGCCUCUCACUCCAGGGCAUGGACUACUGCAAAGCCAAUGGCGUCGUGCUGCAGGUGCAGGUACUGCAGCCCCUGGAUAGAAGUGUGUACGGCCCCCUGAGGAGAUACAUCAACAGUGCCAUUGAUUGCUGGAUAAAGACAUACCCUGGCAAAACGGUCUCCAUAUAUGACCUACCAGGAAUUGUGGCAACAGCCCGACCAUCUGCUGUGACACCAGGCAACGUCAUGGCUGGAUUUCACUGUACCGGCAUAUGGCCAUUAAACCCUACUGUCUUUACAGAAGCAGACUUCUCACCUGCUCAUUGUAACAGGUCGUCCUGCCCCCACCACCACAGAGGAGCUAGCACCAUAGCUGCAGUACCUGGGGGCUGUGGUGGCUCUUCACAGGCCCAGCCUAGGGUGGAGGUCAACGCAAGUCCUGUGGGGCAGUCUGUCUCUCCUGGGCAGGGGGAGGUCCAAGCCUAUUCCACCUCUGGGGAUCACCUCCACACUGUCUCAGAUCCAUCUACACCUGAAGAUGUCUUCUGUGAUUCUGCACUGAGUCAAUCCAUCCCCACAGAUGACGUCAGCCUUGUCUAAACGUCAGACUGUUACUAUGGUUACGCCAUGGAUCUGUCUGAAAGAAGUCGCUGUAAAAAAGACGCAAUAGUCUACAAGACAGAAUGUUGAAUACAUUGAUAUUUAAACGUACUUUACCGGUUUUCCAUGCUGUUGGUCGUUUUGGUGGUAGGAAGUGGAGAUGGGGUAUCCACAGGAAAGGGUUGUUUACACCACUUAUUACAGCGCCGGUAGGUUCUGUUGCUUGUAUAUUCCAUCUCCUGAUGCAUUCCACGCGAUGCACAAUUUGUUAAUAAUAGCCCAAUGUAACCGAAUGUUGUCGACCAAAGCCCGUUCCCUCGCAGUCACGGUGCUUGGGAAAUUUGCCAGCUGAUUGCAUGGGACAACGUUGGGUCUGUUCUUCAGUUAAAUUCUGCCAUUGUUUACAUAUUGUGCAUGUCGCGUGCGAAUUGCAGCAUAGAAAAUACAAACCGUCAUACAGACCAGCGUACUGAAAGUCGGGUUACUAACACUACACUAAAUAUUUCUUCUCAGAUUACCUCCUAUAUAAGGACAAAAUCAGCAGACAACGGGUAACGUACGUUCAAAUGAAGUUAAUUCAAUAGUCUGACUUGUGAUGCGACUGUUCACAAAAAAUGAGCCUACAUGUUGGAGACGAGAGAGGAGUCUUUCACUCUCAGAUUCGGAGAGGUUAACUUCAGCCCUGUAGCUGUCUGACCUUUUCCGAAGGCGAAGGACGACCACCAUUCUAACCGAUACCCCUGUCAAGGUGCCCUGGAGGAUGAGAAAACAGGUGAUACCAAAAGCCAAGCGCAGCUUGCAGAAACAGUGUGGCAAGAGCGCUCAGAAGAGAGCAACUAAUUAGGAUGAACAGGAAGUUGUGCGAAAGAUUUUGGCUCAUCCAUGCCAGGGCAGAUCUGGGCGCAGUGCUUGUUCAGUCAAGGGUGGGCACACAAGGCCUACACUGAAGGAGAGGAGAUCUACAUCUGUCACUGAUAGACAGUAAACAAAUUACAGGUUUAUUCACUUUUGUUUUGCAGUAUUUCAUUUUAAUUUCCUCAAACAAUUGACUAAUUUACAACAAGUGUUUGUUCCACACUUGUGUUAACAUUUUGUCUUUGUCUGAAGGUGUUACUUUUUGCACUCUUAGUUCAGAAAAACAGUUCUAUAUUUCUAAUUUUGUAAUUUUAUACCUCUUCUAUUGCCUGAUGUAUUUGUUUUACUUUGGGGGGGGGGGGUGUAAUUUAGAAGAUGUUCUUAUCCUGAGCGAUUUACAGGAGCAGUUAGGGUUAAGGGCAUGUCGACAGAUGUUUCACCUAGUUGACUCGGAUUCGAACCAGCAACCUUUUGGCUCUUAACCGCUAGGCUACCUGGGUGCUGUUUUAGACAACAUUGUCUUUUGUGGAUCUAUUUCAGUCUCUUCAUUUAAGUCUUAAAGCUGCAAUAUGUAACUUAAUUCACAUAGAAAUGUUAGUUAUAGAUCUGUCAUUCUCGUUUAAAGCAAGUAUAAGAAGUGGUAGAUCUUUUCUAAGUGAGCUAUUUCUAUGCUCCCCAUUCUUAGGUUUUGUUUUUGCUUCUUGUUUUCGGUUUUAUACACCAGCAAACUGCUGAAAAUACAAUAUUUUUGGUAAUUGAACAUUUAUACUGAACAAAAUUAUAAACGCAACAGGGAUAGGCCCAACCUCUUGGGAGCCAGGCCCGCCCACUAGGGAGCAAGGGCCAGCCAAUUAGAAUGAGUUUUUCACCAUAAAAGGGCUUUAUUACAGACAGAAAUACUCCUUAGUUUCAUCAGUUGUCCGAGUGGCUGGUCUCAGUCGAUCCCGCAGGUGAAGAAGCCGGAUGUGGAUGUCCUGGGCUGGUGUGGUUACACGUGGUCUGCGGUUGUGAGGCCGGUUGGAGUUACUGCCAAAUUCUCUAACACGACAUUAUGGUAGAGAAAUUAACAUUCAAUUCUUUGGCAACAGCACUGGUGGACAUUCCUGCAGUCAGCAUGCCAAUUGCACACUCCCUCAAAACUUGAGACAUCUGUGGCAUUGUGUUGUGUAACAAAACUGCACGUUUUAGUGGCCUUUUACUGUCCACAGCACAAGGUGCACUUGUGUAAUAAUCAUGCGGUUUAAUCAGCUCCUUGAUAUGCCAAUCUAAACAAAUUCGUGGCCACAAUUUGUGAGAAAUAAACCUUUUGUGCGUAUGGAACAUUUGUGAUCUUUUAUAUCAGCUCAUGAAACAUGGGACCAACAUUUUACAUGCUAUGUUUAUAUUUUUGUUCAGUAUAUUUGUAUCUCUGUGUCUCUCUCUCUGCCCCCCCCCUCUCUCUCUCUGCCCCUCUCACAUUACAUCAUUUCACAAAUAGUUUAAUCUUUACUCAUUCAGUUUAUACAAGAAUUAGAUGCAAACUCUGUAAUUGAGAAAUAUACACAUUCAGAGAUAUAGUUAUGUGUGCUUCCUGUCCUCUCUGAGGUCAUCAUGAAACACACUCGUCAUAUCUGUCCUUUAAGUGUCCACGGACCAUUCCAACCUUCUCACAAAUGGACAUUUUGUUUCAAAUUCCCAUUUUAGGGAUUUAGGAGUUCGCCAUGUGAAAUCCUUUGUUCUUUCUGUGUCUCUCCUUAUGCAUGACCAGGGGGAGAGAGUCUCUGCCAGGAAUUUAUGUCCUGAUAUAACAGAACCUGGGUGUAGGAGAGAGUGAGAGAGAGGGAAGCCAUGAUCUAUACCCAGAAAGGGCCACGUCAUGACAUACUCAAAGUGGAAGAUGCAUUCUAACGUUUAAAAAAAUGUAUAAAAAAUAAAACACUAACUUCACCAUCUACCAAUCAAUGCCCUUCUUCACCAUCUACCAAUCAAAGACCUCCCUGGUCUUUGUGGUUGAAUCUGUGCUUGAAAUUCACUACUCGAUUGAAGGACCUUACAGAUAAUUGUAUGUGUGGGGUACAGAGAUGGGGUAGUCAUUCAAAAAUCAUGUUAACCCCUAUUAUUGAACACAGAAUGAGUCCAUGCAACUUAUGUAACUUGUUAAGCAAAUGUUUACUCUUGAAUGUAUAUGUAGAUGCCAUGUCACAAUACAUUGGAAAGUUACGUUGAAACAACCUUAAUUGAACCAGUUUGUGCCCUGUGGGUUUUGUGUGUUUGCGCCUCUCUCCCUAAAUGUACUUCGCUAUUAGACAUCGUACACAAAUAUGCCCCUUAAAUACUUUCUGAAGGCACUGUAAGUCAUAUUUAAUAGAAAUCGGGAAACACUGGCCAGUUAGCUUAAGGCCAGUGGUUGUUUUCCUGUAAGGAUACCUUAUCCUGGAGAGGUAAACAGCAAUUAUCAGCAAUUAGUAACACACAGGGAGGAGCUAGUUGCCCUGAAGGUAAGAUAAUGACUUUUGUUUGGAAACACAUAAUCAAGCAUAGACAAUGACAUUUACAGAUAAUAAUACAGAUAUAAUGUUCAGUUCAUGAGCAAUUCAAUGAUUCAUCUGCACACUAUGUACAUCAGUACAUUGUCAACUAUGAUGUUAACUCGUGACUAUAAGGUUCUAUCUGAC